UACGUAGGGGGCAAGCGUUAUCCGGAUUUACUGGGUGUAAAGGGAGCGUAGGCGGUGCAGCAAGUCAGAAGUGAAAGCCCGGGGCUCAACUCCGGGACUGUUUUUGAAACUGUUGAACUAGAUUGCAGGAGAGGUAAGUGGAAUUCCUAGUGUAGCGGUGAAAUGCGUAGAUAUUAGGAGGAACACCAGUGGCGAAGGCGGCUUACUGGACUGUAAAUGACGCUGAGGCUCGAAAGCGUGGGGAGCAAACAGG
rnacentral:rRNA from 1 species